rnacentral:rRNA from 1 species
AGUGAACGCUGGCGGUAGGCCUAACACAUGCAAGUCGAACGGCAGCACAGGAGAGCUUGCACUCUGGGUGGCGAGUGGCGGACGGGUGAGGAAUACAUCGGAAUCUACUCUGUCGUGGGGGAUAACGUAGGGACACUUACGCUAAUACUGCAUACGACCUACGGGUGAAAGCAGGAGACCUUCGGGCCUUGCGCGAUUGAAUGCGCCCAUGUCGGAUUAGCUAGUGGGCGGGGAAAAGGCCCACCAAGGAGACGAUCCGUAGCUGGUCUGAGACGAUGAUCAGCCACACUGGAACUGAGACACAGUCCAGACUCCUACGGGAGGCAGCAGUGGGGAAUAUUGGACAAUGGGCGCAAGCCUGAUCCAGCCAUACCGCGUGGGUGAAGAAGGCCUUCGGGUUGUAAAGCCCUUUUGUUGGGAAAGAAAUCCAGCUGGCUAAUACCCGGUUGGGAUGACGGUACCCAAAGAAUAAGCACCGGCUAACUUCGUGCCAGCCGCCGCCGUAA